UCACAUUCAACAAACAUUUAUUAACACGUAAAUGGAUAAGGCUUGGCUCCCUGUUCUCAGAAUGCUCAGUGCAGAGGGGCAGACAAUCACAAAGUUACAGCAGAAUCACAGUAGAAUAAGUACUAUCACUGAGGUACAGACAAAGUACUUUGGAGGCACAGUGAAGAUAUAGGGGUGAGAGAGGAGCAAUUUUCCAAUUUAUACCUGCCUAGAGCAUUCAGGGAAGGCUCCAGAGAAGUCAUCUGUGAGUUGAGCCUUGAAGGAGGAGUAGAAACCACCAGGUGAAGAGUCAAGGAAGGAGACCUACAGGCUAGGGCUCAGAGAUGUAUGUAGCUAAGGUCAGGCAAGCGAGAGGUUCAGGGAACCAGGCAUGAAUGAUGGAAUAAGGAAAAAAAAGAGUAAGGAAUGAGCAGGACUGUGGAGCACAAACCUCCAGCUCUACUGUAGAAAUUUAAAGGUCUUAUUUCCCCAUGGAGAGGGGAGGAUAGAGGAGGGUGGGAGGUCCCCAGUAAUGGGUCCCUGCCACUUCCUCAGUCAGGCCAUGGGGUUUAAACACCAAAGCCAGAGCUUCAUGGUUGUGAUCUAAUAUCUCUAGGCCACUAAAUUGUCAAGAGCCCUUUUUGGAAGCAAAGAACUUAUAUGAGCAAUGCAGGCCUAAAUGGAAGAAGGUCCCUAGUAUUUUCAUCUUUCUCAUAUGCAGUUGAUCAUGACUAAGAAAUAGCUCUACUUCCUUGAGGAAAUCAAACGAGGUAUGGAACUUGAGAGGGGAAGGUGCACUAGAGUGCAGGCCUUGCAGCAAUCUCACAAUCGAAUGGUAAAAUGAUGGCUACAGUCUCUUUUUUUUUUUCAAAUUCAAAUUACAUAUUAACAUAAAACUUAAAUAUAUAUUCACAAACCCCUUAAACCCAUUUGUCUUGUUAUUCCUGUCUCCUCCAUUUACUUCUUUCAUAUCCCUAUGUAUUUUAAUACGCUUAAAUUAAAAAACAAAACAUUUAAGCUUUUUAAUUUAAAUAAUUUUUUCUUUUUGAAUACUUUUAAUUCUUUUCAUUCUUUGAUUUUUAUUUAAAUAUUUUUGUAAAGGUUUAAAAUUUUUU
ensembl:lncRNA